rnacentral:rRNA from 1 species
UGUGGGUGACAAGAGAGAGAGGUGACGUGGGUGCUUCGCGUCUGCGCACGAGGUGCAUCGGUGUCUCUGUGUGUGUCUCUUCUCUCUCUCGUUUUUUUCUAAUUCUUUCUUAUCUGUUUUACCUCCUCUCCUCGUUUUACGUUUUCCCCACAACCUUUGCUUGCGGCUCGGCUCCACAAGCAAGCAACAAUAUUUCGGCGUUGAACAAGGGAAGGGGGAGGGAGGGUUAGACGGACGCGAGGGAGGGAGUAGUGAGAGGGGGGAGGGGCGGCCGCCGACUGGAAAGAGAGACGGCAGCGGAUGCUCGAUCCUCCUCAUCCGAUGCCCACUCGCUAUCGGGCGUCGAGACAGGGCGGUAAUGAGGAGGGAGCAUUGUCUCCUUCGUCUCUCGUCUCCUCCGCCUCUUCCCGGCCCUUUCUCGUGCGGCCGUCCGUCUCUCAUUAAGACGCCGGCAUGGAAGUGGGCCCGCCGCGCCGCCGGUGGUGGUGGUGCGAGGAUCCGAGGAUCGAUCGAUGGCAUCGAUGCUCGCUCGGUCGGUCGGUCGUCUCUCGGGUGAGGACGUAGUUAGCGUGUCAUUUAAGGCCGCGCGGGACGUAAGUGACGGGGCAGGCAGGCAGGCCGGCCGGUUUAGAAAAGGGGACGAGGAGGAGGAGGAGCGCUCUUUUCGUGUGUCGUUUCGUGUCGCGUCGCCUCGGCGCACCACUCUCCUGCCCUCCUACCACGGCGCGCUCGUACCCCUGCUCCGGUAGCACCGCCUGCCCGUGCCGUUCCUCCUCCUCCAGCCCCACUACCCGCACUCGUCGCCGCCGCGCCUGCCGCUGCUCCUCGUCGUGCCGCCGCCGCCGCCGUUCAAGUCGCAGCGGUCGAAGGAGACCGUGCCGCCGAGGCACACCCUGCGGACCAAGUCGACGCGGAGGUUGGUCCACCGCGUCCACGACGACUGCGACGGGAUGAGGAAGAGCGUCGACCCCUACGAGAGCCCGUAGGACGACGUCGAGAAGAUGCCGAAGGAGCCGUCGACCUGGCGGAUGGAGUAGUCGCAGGAGAUGCAGCUCAUGGCGAGGGCGUUCCUCUUCCUCCCGCAGUCGAAGUUCUUGGUGCAGUAGGUCACCAAGCUCCACGACCUGCCCGACGACCCGGGCAUGACCUUCCGCCGGCCCGACCGGAAGUUGACGUGGAAGGAGGAGAAGCCGUGCCAGUAGGUCGAGUAGCGGACGCGGUCAUUGUAGAUGAUGUAGUUGCUGGCCGACCUGUUCGCCUGCACCUGCAUGUAGAAGCCGCGGACGACGCGGUGGUGGCAGAAGUAGGGCAGGAAGGUGUUGAUGGCCUAGACCAGGAAGGACCCGGACCCGUACUGGUGGAUGUGCCGGACCAUGGACCGGUAGCGGCGCGAGUAGUUGCCGGUCCACCUCCCGCAGUGGGUGUGGCCGGGGUUGUUCGAGCAGGAGAUGAAGUGGCCGCGGUGGUUGUAGGAGAUGUGGAAGCCGCCGGUGCGGCAGUGGCACCUCUAGUACGUGCGCUACACCUUCGGCCGGUUCAAGUUCAUGUAGAUGGACGACCGCUGCGACAUGCACAAGUGCGACUGCGACGGCAGCCGCAGCCGGUACAUGACCCGCAUGCCCCUGCUCGACGACCGCGUGCGGUUGCGGAAGAGCGACGACGGGUUCUGCCGCACCGCCCUGCGCCGCCACUAGGAGUACGAGUAGGUGGUCAAGUAGUGGAAGCCGAAGCGGACGUGCGGCGAGAUGAAGCACACCCUCUUCCACUAGCCGUACGUGCUGUGGUUCUCGCAGACGGAGGCGCGGGAGCGGUCCGAGGGGUAGCAGCAGGGGUAGACCAAGGAGCGGUAGUAGAAGGGGAAGAAGCCGGGGUAGUUGAGGCGGCAGCCGCGGGAGGAGCAGUCGAAGUGGCAGAUGUAGUAGGGGCGGGAGCGGGUGUACGAGUGGAUGGCUAGGCGUAGGCGGGCGCGGUUGCGCCGCCUCUUCGGCGGGAAGAAGGACGGCUCGACCUGCCCCUACAAGCACGAGUUGCGGAAGUAGCACCACACCCACAAGCACCAGCCGAAGCCCGACCCUCCGACCCGGUCGUACCAGUUGAAGUAGGCGGUCUAGUUGUGGAAGCCGGAGAAGCGGUUCACGAUGGUCACGGGGUUCGGGCCGCCGCGGCGGCAGCGGGGCCCGGGGAGCCGCAACGUGGUGAUCGGGGGAGCGGCAGCGGGCCCUCGCACUGCGGCGGUACGGUGGCCGGCCGCCCUUCGGGCGUUCCUCUUCGGGCUCUUCGAAGGGAGAGGGCCGUGCCGCCUAGGAGGUCAUGACAACGAACAAUCCAAAACCAGCGGAACAUUGUAUGUUCGGAGCGGAGAGGAGAGGAUCCCACAGGCAGUCACAGUGUGGCGUGGCAUCAUCUUGUACUCCCACCGGCCCAGGGAUUCUGGGCAACCCUCAUGCAUGCAUGCACAGGCACACAAACACAAACCGAACCGAACCGAACCGAACGGGGCGGGUUAUAUAUACACUACCAGCAGUACCGAAUAUUCUAAACGUACGUCGAGGACCCUGUUAAGGUAUGCUGCUACUUAACUUAACUGCUACGAUAAUUG